rnacentral:rRNA from 1 species
UACGUAGGGCGCAAGCGUUGUCCGGAAUUAUUGGGCGUAAAGAGCGCGCAGGCGGCUGGGCAAGUCCGAUGUGAAAGCUCCCGGCUUAACUGGGAAAUUGCAUCGGAAACUGCUCGGCUUGAAGGUGGGAGAGGGUAGCGGAAUUCCCGGUGUAGUGGUGAAAUGCGUAGAUAUCGGGAGGAACACCAGUGGCGAAGGCGGCUACCUGGCCCAUUCUUGACGCUGAGGCGCGAAAGCUAGGGGAGCAAACGGG